AUCGCUUCUCGGCCUUUUGGCUAAGAUCAAGUGUACUAUCAGAAGUUAUGGUUAACUGCAAAUAUGGAGCUUUCAGCUAAUGGUAAUAAUGGAGUUCAGCCGACAAUUAAAAACUCUGGAUAAGAUUUUUUUUUUCUUUUUUUCUUUUCUUUUUUGACAGGCAGAGUGGACAGUGAGAGAGAUAGAGAGAAAGGUCU